GAAAUGCGAUACAUGAUGUGAAUUGCAGAAUUCCGUGAAUCAUCGAAUCUUUGAACGCACAUUGCGCCCGAGGCUUGUCCGAGGGCAUGUCUGCCUGAGCGUCUGU
rnacentral:rRNA from 1 species